rnacentral:rRNA from 1 species
UACGGGGGGGGCAAGCGUUGUUCGGAAUUAUUGGGCGUAAAGGGUGCGUAGGCGGUCCUACAAGUCAGAGGUGAAAGGCUACGGCUCAACCGUAGUAAGCCUUUGAAACUGUAGGACUUGAGUGCAGGAGAGGAGAGUGGAAUUCCCAGUGUAGCGGUGAAAUGCGUAGAUAUUGGGAGGAACACCAGUUGCGAAGGCGGCUCUCUGGACUGUAACUGACGCUGAGGCACGAAAGCGUGGGGAGCGAACAGG